rnacentral:rRNA from 1 species
AUAUCAAUAAGCGGAGGAAAAGAAACCAACAGGGAUUGCCCUAGUAACGGCGAGUGAAGCGGCAACAGCUCAAAUUUGAAAUCUGGCCCUCGGGUCCGAGUUGUAAUUUGUAGAGGAUGCUUUUGGUGAGGUGCCUUCCGAGUUCCCUGGAACGGGACGCCAUAGAGGGUGAGAGCCCCGUCUGGUUGGACACCGAGCCUCUGUAAAGCUCCUUCGACGAGUCGAGUAGUUUGGGAAUGCUGCUCUAAAUGGGAGGUAUAUGUCUUCUAAAGCUAAAUAUUGGCCAGAGACCGAUAGCGCACAAGUAGAGUGAUCGAAAGAUGAAAAGCACUUUGAAAAGAGGGUUAAAUAGUACGUGAAAUUGUUGAAAGGGAAGCGCUUGUGACCAGACUUGAGCCCGGUUAAUCAUCCAGCCUUCUGGCUGGUGCACUUGGCCGGCUCAGGCCAGCAUCAGUUCGGCGUGGGGGAUAAAGGCUUCGGGAAUGUGGCUCCUCCGGGAGUGUUAUAGCCCGUUGCGUAAUACCCUGUACUGGACUGAGGUUCGCGCAUCUGCAAGGAUGCUGGCGUAAUGGUCAUCAGCGACCCGUCUUGAAACACGGACCAAGGAGUCGUCCUCGUAUGCGAGUGUUCGGGUGUCAAACCCCUACGCGUAAUGAAAGUGAACGCAGGUGAGAGCUUCGGCGCAUCAUCGACCGAUCCAGAUGUUCUCGGACGGAUUUGAGUAAGAGCAUACGGGGCCGGACCCGAAAGAAGGUGAACUAUGCCUGUAUAGGGUGAAGCCAGAGGAAACUCUGGUGGAGGCUCGCAGCGGUUCUGACGUGCAAAUCGAUCGUCAAAUAUGGGCAUGGGGGCGAAAGACUAAUCGAACCUUCUAGUAGCUGGUUUCCGC